rnacentral:rRNA from 1 species
AUUGAACGCUGGCGGCAUGCUUUACACAUGCAAGUCGAACGGCAGCGCGGGCUUCGGCCUGGCGGCGAGUGGCGAACGGGUGAGUAAUGCAUCGGAACGUGCCCAGUAGUGGGGGAUAGCCCGGCGAAAGCCGGAUUAAUACCGCAUACGACCUGAGGGUGAAAGCGGGGGACCGAAAGGCCUCGCGCUCUUGGAGCGGCCGAUGUCGGAUUAGCUAGUUGGUGGGGUAAAGGCUUACCAAGGCGACGAUCCGUAGCUGGUCUGAGAGGACGACCAGCCACACUGGGACUGAGACACGGCCCAGACUCCUACGAGAGGCAGCAGUGGGGAAUUUUGGACAAAGGGGGCAACCCUGAUCCAGCCAUGCCGCGUGCGGGAAGAAGGCCUUCGGGUUGUAAACCGCUUUUGUUCGGGAAGAAAUCCUCUGGGCUAAUACCCCGGGGGGAUGACGGUACCGGAAGAAUAAGCACCGGCUAACUACGUG